GGUGAAUUCUGCAGAAGAGUUUCAUAAUAAAGUCAGUAAAUAGCAAUCAGCACGUAGGGUCAGAUUGGCCCAUCAAAGUUUGUAGGAGUUGAACGAAUUUUCACAGCAAAGCCAUUAGCUUCUAAACAUUUUCUGGAAUUGAUGCUAGGAGUUCUGUUGCUAGACCCGAGCUACACUUUGUUCAAGUAAUGCGCAUGGUGAAUUUGGAGAAAUGGAGCUGUGAGUAAUUUGUGAAUCUUGCCGCCUGGAUAACUAGUCCUCAUGGCCCCCACGCAUAAAGGGGCAGAGACCCGUUAACAUGAACUAACUAAAAUUUUAUAUUUCAUAAAAUAUUAGAAAUUUCUAGGCUGAAUGGAGAAUUGACAAAUAUGAAUAACAUAAACAAAGAAUUCCCAACUCCAAAUGUAUACACGACUGCAGCUCCCCUGCAUUUUUGAUAACCCAUCAAAUCAAAACUUUAAUUGCAGAAAUGUACUGCCUGAAUAGUCUCCAAAUUCUACAAACAAAGAUUUUCAGAAAAAACUUCAACAGAACCUUUGUGACUCAAAACAUUGCUUCAGUGCAUGAAUAAUUACAUAUCCUCUGAAGUUUUAAAAAGUAAACAAAUACUCUUGCACGCGUUAUCCUGAAUUUAACAAGCAAUGAACCAGAAAAUCACCACAAACGUGGAAUGCAACAUUACCUUAAGAUGAUAUUGCUUCUGCAAUGAUUGUCGAAACAGCCCAGUGUAUAUUCCACACAUCCACCAGGUAAAUAAUAGACCCUCGCAAAUGAGAAAAGAAGUCUUAGGAUCAAUACCAUGGAAAAAUAGAGUAGCUGCUGCAAGCGCCAGUCCACCUUCAACACACAUGGCAUGGCAAACACAUGCAUUGGUCCAAGGAAUAUCUUCUCUCAGUGUUUCGACAUUAUGUCCAAACAACACACAUGGGCAAAAGAGUCCAGUCCAGCAACUCUCAGAAUCAUCAGCACAGCCACAAAUUCCGGUGGUCCAAUCUUCAUCGGCAGGAGGCUCAUAGCUUUCAGGUAGAGCUUGCCCGCAUUCAGCACAUCUGUGGAUGAUUAACUCAGGAACUGGAAUGGGCUGAUUGAGUUCGCCGGGAGUGAUAUCUUCGGUUGGCACUUGAUCCUUUGUCAACUUGACGUACCUUGAUUGCGCAUUGCCGUCCGCCAUCUUAUCCAAAACAUCAACCAAUUAAAUAACAAUCGUAUACACACACAUACACACAUAUAGUACAUGUAUGUGCAGAAAACUCUGAGAGAGAACGAACCUCGGAAUGAGAUUGAAAUUCACUUGGAGGCAAAUGAAUCUACUACUUCAAAUGUUAAAGAGCAGAAAAAUUAGAGAGAUCUCAUCUGAAUCCGAUUCUAUUCCUUUAUUUGGAUUAUGGAGAAGUUUUCUCAACGGCGUUUA
rnacentral:misc_RNA from 1 species